GCGGGUGUGGUUCAAUGGUAGAAUAGCUCCCUUCCAAGGAGCAGACGAGGGUUCGAUUCCCUUCACCCGCU
rfam:Candidatus Roizmanbacteria bacterium RIFCSPHIGHO2_12_FTLL_44_10 rifcsphigho2_12_scaffold_33576, whole genome shotgun sequence.